UACGAAGGGGGCUAGCGUUGCUCGGAAUCACUGGGCGUAAAGCGCACGUAGGCGGAUUGUUAAGUCAGGGGUGAAAUCCUGGAGCUCAACUCCAGAACUGCCUUUGAUACUGGCGAUCUCGAGUCCGGGAGAGGUGAGUGGAACUGCGAGUGUAGAGGUGAAAUUCGUAGAUAUUCGCAAGAACACCAGUGGCGAAGGCGGCUCACUGGCCCGGUACUGGACGCUGAGGUGCGAAAGCG
rnacentral:rRNA from 1 species